GGAAUGGUCUCAGCGAUGCUCGACUAUAUAGGCCCCAUCGACGUAAUCAACUUCUGGCUGCUGCAAAGAAGGAAAACAAAGGGUUUAGGGAUUAAUAAGGCGCCACUUUUGUGGCACCUUCUCAUAUACCAUGUGGGUGCAUAGCCCCUGGUAUACU
rnacentral:rRNA from 1 species